GAUGAACGCUGGCGGCGUGCCUAAUACAUGCAAGUCGAGCGAACGGACGAGAAGCUUGCUUCUCUGAUGUUAUCGGCGGACGGGUGAGUAACUCGUGGAUAACCUACCUAUAAGACUGGGAUAACUUCGGGAAACCGUAGCUAAUACCGGAUGAUAUUUUGAACCGCAUGGUUCAAAAGUGAAAGACGGUCUUGCUGUCACUUAUAGAUGCAUCCGCGCUGCAUUAGCUAGUUGGUAAGGUAACGGCUUACCAAGGCAACGAUGCAUAGCCGACCUGAGAGGGUGAUCGGCCACACUGGAACUGAGACACGGUCCAGACUCCUAGGGGAGGCAGCAGUAGGGAAUCUUCCGCGAUGGGCGAAAGCCUGACGGAGCAACGCCGCGUGAGUGAUGAAGGUCUUCGGAUCGUAAAACUCUGUUAUUAGGGAAGAACAUAUGUGUAAGUAACUGUGCACAUCUUGACGGUACCUAAUCAGAAAGCCACGGCUAACUACGUG
rnacentral:rRNA from 1 species